CCUANGGGGGGCAGCAGUGGGGAAUAUUGGACAAUGGGCGGAAGCCUGAUCCAGCAAUACCGCGUGUGUGAAGAAGGCCUUAGGGUUGUAAAGCACUUUCAAUGGGGAGGAAAACCUACCGGUCAAUACCCGGUAGCUUGACAUUACCUUUAGAAGAAGCACCGGCUAACUCCGUGCCAGCAGCCGCGGUAAUACGGAGGGUGCGAGCGUUAAUCGGAAUUACUGGGCGUAAAGCGUGCGUAGGCGGUUCGUUAAGUCAGAUGUGAAAGCCCUGGGCUCAACCUGGGAACGGCAUUUGAAACUGGCGGACUAGAGUUUAGUAGAGGGGAGUGGAAUUUCAGGUGUAGCGGUGAAAUGCGUAGAUAUCUGAAGGAACACCAGUGGCGAAGGCGACUCCCUGGACUAGAACUGACGCUGAGGUACGAAAGCGUGGGUAGCAAACAGGAUUAGAUACCCCGNUANUC
rnacentral:rRNA from 1 species